rnacentral:misc_RNA from 1 species
GGGCAACUCAAGUACGAUUGAAGGGGUUAAGUCCAAUCUGUCUGGCCUCGCUUACACCAACAACUAAACUAUAUGGGUCAAAAGACGGCUUGGCCAAGCAGCGCUCUAGUUAGCUCUGAUAGAAAGAAAAUCAUCAUGUCGUCAAGGCAGUUCAUGAAUGAAUGGGAAUCGUUGGAGUGUCGAGCGCCCAUACCGGCUCAAGGACCAGAAUUCGUAUAGGAUAUAAUCUUUUUCUAAAAGAAUCUUUCUAUCGGCGGGGGG